rnacentral:rRNA from 1 species
AGCGAACGCUGGCGGCAGGCCUAACACAUGCAAGUCGAACGGAUCCUUCGGGAUUAGUGGCGGACGGGUGAGUAACACGUGGGAACGCGCCUUUUGGUUCGGAACAACUCAGGGAAACUUGAGCUAAUACCGGAUGUGCCCUUCGGGGGAAGGAUUUAUCGCCAUUAGAGCGGCCCGCGUCUGAUUAGCUUGUUGGUGAGGUAAAGGCUCACCAAGGCUACGAUCAGUAGCUGGUCUGAGAGGAUGAUCAGCCACAUUGGGACUGAGACACGGCCCAAACUCCUACGGGAGGCAGCAGUGGGGAAUCUUGCGCAAUGGGCGAAAGCCGACGCAGCCAUGCCGCGUGAAUGAUGAAGUCUUAGGAUUGUAAAAUUCUUUCACCGGGGAGAUAAUGACGGUACCCGGAGAAGAAGCUCCGGCUAACUUCGUGCCAGCAGCCGCGGUAAC